rnacentral:misc_RNA from 1 species
GCUACUACCGAUUGAAUGGUUUAGUGAGGACUCCUGAUUGGCGCCGCCGCCCCGGCAACGGAGCGGCGGACUGCCAAAAAGUUGUUCAAACUUGAUCAUUUAGAGGAAGUAAAAGUCGUAACAAGGUUUCCGUAGGUGAACCUGCAGAAGGAUCAAGAUCGGAAGAGCGUCGUUUCGGGAAAGAGUUGAGAUCCCGGCGGUCCCCGUAUCACUAAAAAUAAAACACACCACCGCUUGCACCCCCCGUAUUACCCCAGCUCCUGGCCCUACAUCACCC